rnacentral:tRNA from 1 species
GCGGGCGUAGCUCAGUGGUAGAGUUCCAGCCUUCCAAGCUGGCUGUCGCGGGUUCAAAUCCCGUCGCCCGCU